CAAUUAUUUGAUAUCUUUAUGGUGUAUAAAAAAGGUGUUAAGCACUCGAGAAAGAGUGAGUUUUAAUUGUAUUUACUAAAAAAUGCAUUGCUCUGGCGAUAUCAUUACCGUUCUUCGUCACUUUCUCUAAACUAAUCAUAACCCACCACCGCCAUACGUAAUCAGCCUCCGAUGACAAUUGAUGACAUGUCAUCUUACGUUAUUCGUAGCAUGUUUUUCAGUCAUUUUAAGGUGGUUUGACGUCAUUCACAAAGAAAUCAUGCAAAUCAGCAGAUCAAAACAUCUGAAGAUUUGUGAGGACUUUGGGAAGAUGAAAGAAUGAGGAUUCAAGAAGCCUCAUAAUAAUUUACAAAGAGAGAAAUUAUGUUCCCAAGUUCCAAGACAUCUUAUGUGGAAGAAAACACCCAAAAAGACAAAGAAAUCGAAGUUCCAGGGCCAAAACAACACCCUCAUGCAUGCGCCUAGCACAAGCCUGGGCACAUGAGGGAGGCGCCUAUCAAAUGGAAGUAGGCUCAUGGCGGCCAUAACACCACACACAUGCGCCUUGCGCAUGGCUAUAGGCACCUAGUGCCCGUGCCUUGUGGGCAAAGACAUUGUUUUUGGCUAUUAGUUAUUGUCUUAGUUGGCUAGGUUUAUUUGCAUGGUUGAUUUUGUAUUAAGUUUAAAGCUUAGUAAACUUUAGUUUGAUGGAUUGUGUUUACACAUCGAAUGUUUUGAGUUUAUAUUAUCAAGUAUGUUGUUCAUUUUAUUUUAGUUUGACAAACUCUUGAUGCUUUUUGCUGAUGCAUCAUGAGUUUGAAAGUAAGUGUUACAUAAUAGAUUUUAUGUUAUUGGA